rnacentral:rRNA from 1 species
AGUGAACGCUGGCGGUAGGCCUAACACAUGCAAGUCGAACGGCAGCACAGUAAGAGCUUGCUCUUACGGGUGGCGAGUGGCGGACGGGUGAGGAAUACAUCGGAAUCUACUUUGUCGUGGGGGAUAACGUAGGGAAACUGACGCUAAUACCGCAUACGACCUACGGGUGAAAGCAGGGGAUCUUCGGACCUUGCGCGAUUGAAUGAGCCGAUGUCGGAUUAGCUAGUUGGCGGGGUAAAGGCCCACCAAGGCGACGAUCCGUAGCGGGUCUGAGAGGAUGAUCAGCCACACUGGAACUGAGACACGGUCCAGACUCCUACGGGAGGCAGCAGUGGGGAAUAUUGGACAAUGGGCGCAAGCCUGAUCCAGCCAUACCGCGUGGGUGAAGAAGGCCUUCGGGUUGUAAAGCCCUUUUAUUGGGAAAGAACAGCAGCAGGUUAAUACCCCGCUGUUCUGACGGUACCCAAAGAAUAAGCACCGGCUAACUUCGUG